UGACCCAGCGACGCCGCGUGAGGGAUGAAGUCUUUCGGGACGUAAACCUCUGUUGUACGGGAAGAAUAAAUUGACGGUACCGUACGAGGAAGGCCCGGCAAACUACGUGCCAGCAGCCGCGGUAAUACGUAGGGGCCAAGCGUUGUCCGGAAUUACUGGGCGUAAAGAGCACGUAGGCGGAUCGUUAAGUCGACUGUGAAAGUCCUGGGCUCAACCCGGGAAUUGCAGUUGAUACUGGCGGACUAGAGUACUGGAGAGGGAAGUGGAAUUCCCGGUGUAGCGGUGAAAUGCGCAGAUAUCGGGAGGAACACCAGUGGCGAAGGCGGCUUCCUGGCCAGUAACUGACGCUGAGGUGCGAAAGCUGGGGGAGCGAACCGGAUUAGAUACCCGGGUAGUCCCAGCCGUAAACGAUGAAUGCUAGGUGU
rnacentral:rRNA from 1 species